rnacentral:rRNA from 1 species
UACGUAGGGGGCUAGCGUUGUCCGGAAUCAUUGGCCGUAAAGAGCGCGUAGGCGGCUAGAUAAGUCCGGUGUGAAAGUCACAGGCUCAACCUGUGAAUGCCGCUGGAAACUGUCUGGCUAGAGUCCGGAAGGGGCGAGUGGAAUUCCUGGUGUAGCGGUGAAAUGCGCAGAUAUCAGGAGGAACACCAAUGGCGAAGGCAGCUCGCUGGGACGGUACUGACGCUGAGGCGCGAAAGCGUGGGGAGCGAACAGG